rnacentral:rRNA from 1 species
CAGUAGCCGCGGUAAUACGGAGGGAGCUAGCGUUGUUCGGAAUUACUGGGCGUAAAGCGCACGUAGGCGGUUAUUCAAGUCAGAGGUGAAAGCCCGGGGCUCAACCCCGGAACUGCCUUUGAAACUAGAUGACUAGAAUCUUGGAGAGGUCAGUGGAAUUCCGAGUGUAGAGGUGAAAUUCGUAGAUAUUCGGAAGAACACCAGUGGCGAAGGCGACUGACUGGACAAGUAUUGACGCUGAGGUGCGAAAGCGUGGGGAGCAAACAGGAUUAGAUACCCCCGUAGUCCCUGUCUCUUAUAC